AACACAUGCAAGUCGAGGGGCAGCAUGGUCUUAUCUUGCUAAGGCCGAUGGCGACCGGCGCACGGGUGAGUAGCACGUAUCCAACCUGCCGUCUACUCUUGGACAGCCUUCUGAAAGGAAGAUUAAUACAAGAUGGCAUCAUGAGUCCGCAUGUUCACAUGAUUAAAGGUAUUCCGGUAGACGAUGGGGAUGCGUUCCAUUAGAUAGUAGGCGGGGUAACGGCCCACCUAGUCUUCGAUGGAUAGGGGUUCUGAGAGGAAGGUCCCCCACAUUGGAACUGAGACACGGUCCAAACUCCUACGGGAGGCAGCAGUGAGGAAUAUUGGUCAAUGGGCGCAGGCCUGAACCAGCCAAGUAGCGUGAAGGAUGACUGCCCUAUGGGUUGUAAACUUCUUUUAUAAAGGAAUAAAGUCGGGUAUGGAUACCCGUUUGCAUGUACUUUAUGAAUAAGGAUCGGCUAACUCCGUGCCAGCAGCCGCGGUAAUACGGAGGAUCCGAGCGUUAUCCGGAUUUAUUGGGUUUAAAGGGAGCGUAGAUGGAUGUUUAAGUCAGUUGUGAAAGUUUGCGGCUCAACCGUAAAAUUGCAGUUGAUACUGGAUAUCUUGAGUGCAGUUGAGGCAGGCGGAAUUCGUGGUGUAGCGGUGAAAUGCUUAGAUAUCACGAAGAACUCCGAUUGCGAAGGCAGCCUGCUAAGCUGCAACUGACAUUGAGGCUCGAAAGUGUGGGUAUCAAACAGGAUUAGAUACCCUGGUAGUCCACACGGUAAACGAUGAAUACUCGCUGUUUGCGAUAUACUGCAAGCGGCCAAGCGAAAGCGUUAAGUAUUCCACCUGGGGAGUACGCCGGCAACGGUGAAACUCAAAGGAAUUGACGGGGGCCCGCACAAGCGGAGGAACAUGUGGUUUAAUUCGAUGAUACGCGAGGAACCUUACCCGGGCUUAAAUUGCAGAUGAAUUACGGUGAAAGCCGUAAGCCGCAAGGCAUCUGUGAAGGUGCUGCAUGGUUGUCGUCAGCUCGUGCCGUGAGGUGUCGGCUUAAGUGCCAUAACGAGCGCAACCCUUGUUGUCAGUUACUAACAGGUUCCGCUGAGGACUCUGACAAGACUGCCAUCGUAAGAUGUGAGGAAGGUGGGGAUGACGUCAAAUCAGCACGGCCCUUACGUCCGGGGCUACACACGUGUUACAAUGGGGGGUACAGAGGGCCGCUACCACGCGAGUGGAUGCCAAUCCCCAAAACCUCUCUCAGUUCGGACUGGAGUCUGCAACCCGACUCCACGAAGCUGGAUUCGCUAGUAAUCGCGCAUCAGCCACGGCGCGGUGAAUACGUUCCCGGGCCUUGUACACACCGCCCGUCAAGCCAUGAAAGCCGGGGGUACCUGAAGUGCGUAACCGCAAGGAGCGCCCUAGGGUAAAACUGGUGAUUGG
rnacentral:rRNA from 1 species